GAAAUGCUUUGUAUUCAUGAAGGCAGUUUCAGUGCAGAAUACUUUCUUCUGCUAGCUUUUAUUUCUUUGAUCGUGAAAAUUGUUCUUACCUCCUAUUUCUUCAGCCUUUAAUUGUGGCCCGGUGCUUGUUCAGUGUUUCUGUUUUAAUUUGCAUUUAAUGAGCUCAUUUUAAAUGUUUCUUUGUAGUGAUCUGAAUGGUUUCUCGCUUAAGUUAUGUAAUAUUAAAGAAAGAGAUUUUUGUGGCAGGAGGCUGACUUGUGUGGCAGCUCUCCGCUCUGGCUUAUUUUCUUUGUCUCUGAGGGGAGAAUCUGGGGUAGAAGAAUCGUGGUGAUAUGUCUGUCUCCCCAGGCCUGCACCCCUCAUUAUCUCGGCCUCUACCAGGUUAAUCCUGAUAGCUCACCCUCACAAGAUAGAACACUCUCUUCCUCGGAUGAAUAGCUGUUUCACAACAGAGCGUCAGGUCUUUCUGAGCUGCGAGAUCAGGCGGUGCUGUAUGGGGGGAUCCAGGUGGGUGGUAAGCAUCUACCUAGUCCCUGUGCGGAAGGGACACGGGGAAAUGUGGAGGAGACCAGAUGAGCUUGCCCUCUGUUUGGACUGAUAAGACACAUAUUUGGGGUAAGGAUUUGCCCUCUGCCCAGCAGAAGCAGGGUCAUUGGAAAGACGUGUGAAUGUGUGAGCACACACACACCCCCUGUGACUUUUCAUGUCUCCUGGGUUGUUGUCUUAGCUUUGAUCGCCCUCUCCCCAUUGUGCACCUGGAAGCUAUUGUUUGUCCUUCAAGACCAGUUUCAAGUGACACUCACUUUAGAGAAGGUCUUCCUUAAAAUAGCCACCUGGGUGUCAGCUUCUCAUUCGGAGCAUUAGCUCCUCCUUAAAGCCACUUUGCCAGGUCCUUGCUCAGAGAGCGGGAGGUGUAUGAGCCACAGGCCUGCGGCCCUAACCCCCAGAGUCCUGAUAGAGGUUUAUCCAGAGAGCGGGAGGUGUACAGAGCCACAGGCCUGCAGUCCUAACCCUAAGUGUCCUGACGUAGUUUAUCCAGGGAGGCGCUGGAGAGGGCGGCUGUGGAGUCUGGGGAAUCAUUGUCCCCCUAAAGUAGUCUGCAUCUGCUCCUGUAAUGUGUGGCACCCGACACCAAGGAUUCUAUUUCCUGUUUCUGCACUGAGCGGAAGGUUGGUGUUGCAGGAGCCAGAGCUGCUGAAGCUCUCCCAGAGCCAUGCAGGGUGGCUGCCUUUCAGCAGCCAGUGACAAGAAUGUCCACCAGCUACUGAGAACCCCAGGACAGGUGUUUGGACUUUUAAGAGUAUGGAUGGCUUCUUGAUGAUUUCUUCAACUUUAUUGUAAGACUAAACUAAGGUCUCCCUGUCCAAAGUUAGCAUCAGCACCCUUAGCACCGAAGAGCCCAAAGUCACUGUGUCCAGAAGAUAACAUCCUCCACUUCCCUCCACGCCCACGCCAUCCUCCUGGACUGGGGGGUCGGGGUGGGGGGGGAACCAGAGCUUAGGGAACUGAUACCGAAACUCCAAUUGAGACAUUUUUAUUAUUUACGUAGUUGGUGACUGCACCAUCUUUGCAAUUAUUAACUGUCUGUGGGGUUUCCAUGAGUAAGUAAGAUGCUAGAGACAGAGCCCGUGGUGACUACAGAGUGGUUCUAUCAGUGCAUCGUACAGAGUAGAUGCGCUUUUCAGCACAUGGGAAGAGCAGUUCGAGCGCGAGGCGCCCUCUGUGCAGGCCGCGGGGAGGGCUGGGACUGGCUGGCCGUGACAUCUGUGUUUCCGAGAAGACCCUUUGCUGUGGCCUCUACCUGCGUGUCCCCACUUCUCAUCUUUCUUUUUAUUUUCUUUCCCACAUUUCCUUGACUUUCUUUGAAGCUGAGAUUUUAGCAUUUCAUUUGUAGCGGGAGGAGCAGCUGCUGUCUGAGCAGUGAAGAGGUGAGCUCUUUCCUCGCCCCCCACCCGGCGCUGACUGUUGAUUGUGUGUCUGAGGGUCCUGAUGGAAUAAUGGACCCCACAGGCAGGAACCACGUGUCUCCUACAGGGAGAUGCUUUGUAGCUCCAGCCUCUACGUUGUGCUCUCAGAGGAAUCCUGUCUGAUUACCACCUUACUUUCCCGGAGCCAGAGUUUUGGGGAGUGAUGAAUUUUGGGUUGGCUUGAGGACAGAGCAUGAGUCAGGCUCCCUGCCUGGAAAAAUAAAGAUUUCAGAGUAAUUCUUUAUGCCCAAGUUCCUCUCUUUGCUCUUGAGCUCUGGCUUGGGGUCUGCUCCUCUCUUCUGUUGGCCUUGGAGCAAGAGGUGCAGAUGGGAGCACAGCUGGGGCCGCAUUCUUUGAGGCCCCAAACAUAGAUGGCCUGAGCCCCAAACAUAGAUGGCACAGUCAGUUUGCAUUCCCCAAGUCUGGGAAAUUAUGUGUGCCGUGUCUAGAGAUGUUUUUAAAUGAAGAUGCUUAAAUUCAUAAUAUUGAGUGGGAAUCGGAUGUGUUUUAUCGAACAGUUGAUUUAGACAUAAUUAGGUGAUUCAAAUAGAAAGUCAUAUAUAGGGGAAGUCUGACAUUUGCUUCCCACUCCAUUUCGAAAUUGGUGAAAUUUCUAAAUUUCAGCAAUUUCCAGUUGUAGGUAAGGGAGUUUCUUCCUUGACUUUGGUAGUCUCUGGAGUUUCCUUUGUUCUCAUUGCCUGUGUUUGUGAAUGUGUGUGGCAUCUGCAGUUCUCACUGUCUGCAGAGUUUCUACCAGGUGUAUUGCUUUUCCCCAGCAACUUUAUUCCAAGGAAGUCACUAAAUAAUCUUGAGUUUAGAGAAUGAAGCAAGACUUCUGCAUGGGGCUAUGUCUUGGCCUUUAUGCCCUGGUGGUUUUUGGGCACUGCAGCCUUUUAUAACUCAUUUAUUUUGGCAAGUGAAGUUCUGGAAUAAUUUUAAUUAGGGUCUCACAUCUAAGGAACUUCUCCACUGGAUUCAGUCAUAGUUGUCACAAUUCUUUGUGUAUGAAUUUGUUAAAAAUCCCUUCUGGCUGCUGCAGCCAAUUUAAUCAUCUUAUGCCCAAUGGAAUACGAAUUACUCAGGUGAGUUAGUUAUGGAAGGGGUGGGGAUGUGUUAGAGGUCAGGUUUCUGGAGGUGACUUGAUUUUUACCUUUGUCCUCCAGCAAUGAUGAUAACAGGGUAGUUAACAUUAACGACGUAAGACUGAUAAAUAUAUGUGAAUUCUUUAAUAGUUAAGAAGAUUUUUUUAAAGUAUUAAUGUACGAGCUUAGUUACCAUGGCUGGAAAUUCGGUAGUGUUGUCAUUUUCCCCUGUAAAAUAUCAGGAAGUAGAGUAGACCUCAAUGUAGUGUCUCUGAGUUGUGGGAAUUUUUUUAAUUGUGGUUUUCUGUGUUUCCAGAUCUUCAGUAUUAAGCAUGUACUGUUUUGGGAACACAGAAGUGCAGUAGUUGUUAUGAACAGCCUUAAGGAAAUGAUAGAUGUGUCCCUGGAAUACAUGCAGACCUGAUUAUACGGUUGUGACAAAUUAUGUCAAUAAAUUACCAGUGGUGGGCCUCCCUGGUGGCACAAGGGGUUAAGAUGCAACCUAGGAAGCUGUUCGCAGCCCCUGCGGCAUGAGUUCCAUCCCCGGCCAGGUUGCUGACCCACAGGGCGCAGCAGACCUCUCCUGUCUCCCCGCUGCUCCCCUCAGCAGUGGAUUUCAGUCAGUCUGCCUGUUCUGUUCCCCACUCUGUCUCUGGUGAAUCCUCUCAUCCCCACACCUCUGGCCUGUACCCCAGUUCUUGUAUGCAUAAAUAAAUCUUUAAAAAAAAUAAAUAAACUACCAAUGAUAGCAUACUUUGAAAUAAUUUCAUGUUCUUGGUCACAAAAGUGGUAUUUUCAGAACACAAGCAGCACCAUAACUUCGAGAACUCUUUUUUCAGUGAUCCCAUCCGGGGCUGAGGCGUGGCACAGUGGCUGUAUUGCUGCUGCCGCUCUUAGAACCAAAUCACCACUAGUUUGGAGGCUUAAAAUAGCACAAGUUUGUUAUCUUAUAGUUCUAGUGGCCACAUGUCAAAGCUGAGUUUUAAGGAGUUAAGAUCGAGGUGUCGUAGCAGGACUGGUUCACUCUGGAAGCACCAGUGGAGAAUUUUCUCCCACUUCUCCAAGCUCUUGCUUGGCUCCUGGCCCCUCCUCACAGUCUGCCUCAGUGGUCACUCUGCCUUCUUUGCUGUCGUCCGCCUCCCUGUUGUAAGAACACUUGUGGUCACACUUAGGGACCCGCCCCCCUGAUCCCCCCAUCUCAGGCUCCCUAGUGUAAUCACAUCUGCAGUGCCCUCUCGCUGUGUAGGGGUUGGGGUGGGGACACCUUGAGGCGUUCCUGCUCAGCUGCCAGAGUCAUCACAAAGGCUGCCGUCGUCUGCAGGCCGGUUUGGGGCGUCCUGUGAUGAUCUGCAGGAUGACAGGACGCAGGGUGGAGCGUAGCGCUGCGUGGGCCUGCCUUUCCCGAGGUCACUUAGAGGCAGCGCGGUGAGGGGCGCAUGCUGAGUCUAGUGUGUCUCCGUGGGACUGGCUGAUAAAUCUGGCCAAGGACAUAACUCACUCUCAAGAAAGAGAGCGCAUUACAAAAAAAUGAUGAUGCCCUUUCUUCAGUACGACACUGAAGUAGACUCUGAUUUUCUUACAGUCAUCCCAGAGAGCAAAACUCCGAAGUGAGCUUUGUGACUGAAGCUGGCUGAAUUCCACGCGGCGCGGUGCUGGCCCCAAGCAAGAUGAGCACAAUCUGUUUCUUCUAUUUCUAAUAAAGGAAGAGAUGUGCCUUCAUUUGCCUCUUUAAUUCAUUGCUUGCAUUUUAUGUCCUUCUUUCUCACAAUGGCAACGUUCCUACUGUGAUUUUUUUUUUUUUAACAUACAGGUAGAGUGGAAACUGUAAUAAUCACCUUGCAGUCAAGAACACUACAGCAAAAUAGCAUUAAAACUUGCAUUUCCAGGGCCUCCCUGGUGGC